rnacentral:lncRNA from 1 species
AUUUCGCAACCUUGGAAUUGCCUUGGAAAAGUGCCAGUUUACUGGUACUCUGCAACUGUGGAACUUUCUGACAUUGAAGAACAUUGUACCAUAGCAGAGCUAUAAGACUGGACCCCUCUAUCCCAGCACCAGUGUUCCAUACACACAGACACAUCAAUGACACAUAGACAUACAGUAGAUAGAUGCUGUAGAUAUAGUGAUACAUAGAAAUAUAUAAGAUAGAUAUAGUGAUACAUAUUGUAGAUACUAUAGCUAUAGAUAGACCCACAGUAGAUAGAUAUACUGGUGCAUAGAUAUAGUGAGACCUAGACACUGAAGCCAUGUUCGCUCUAUGUGCCACGACUCUCCUGUACUUCCUGUCUUUUAGCCAAUCAGCUCCUGCUGCAGCUCUAGCCUGUGAGGACCUCCUUAAGCCUAUGGAUCCACCACGACUAGACCAGCAGCUCUUGAGGAAAUGGGCCCUCGUCGCAGGCAGCCUGAGCCACCCUGCAUCCCUGGAGGCUCUCAAGACCAGAGACGGCAUCACCAUGGAGUUUUCACCCUCUACCCCCAACACCACCCAGAACUCCAACACCACCACAACCGUCCACUACACCCAGACUAACCGUUUCGGCAUCCGAUGCGAGUAUCUAACCUACAAUAUCUCACUCCUCAACGACAACAGCACCUUCCGGUUCGACGUGGGGGGCCGAUUCAACCUCACUGGGGUCUUCCUGGAGACCUCCUGCCCAGACUGUCUGGUGAUGAAGUGGGAGGUGAUGUCCAGGAGGAGGGAGUCCACGGACCUGUACCUGCUGAGGAAGAGGAGAUGGAGGAGUUCAGGAAACAGGUGGAGUGUUUGGGGCUGCCUCCGCCAGUGGUGAUGGAGCCGGGGAAUGUCCUCUGUGGUUUCUAUCAGCUCCUCUGGAAAGACUGAGGAGAAGGAGAAGAAGAAGCUCGAUCAGUGUGAUCAGAGAGUGGGGGCCGUGAGACAGAUGUAGAGACCCGUUUUCUGUCAUCUGUUUUGGAAUCCAACAAUUCUGUGUUUUACCGUUUGUCGAAGACCUGUAGAAUUUUGAAUAAAAGAUGCACGGUUUGUCAUGUUAUUCUGUCUUCUUGGCUUCUUUAACAGAUUUAAUUACGUUCACAGAGAGAUUUAAUGUCCAAGAGCUUAAGCUAAUUCACAGAGACGGUGGGAUCCAGCAGGAAUGUCGGGACGUCAUUAGGACCGCUCCAAACUCUUCACAAUGGGAAGGAAAAGUCUUUUAUAAUUGGAUUACUUUUGUAUAAUUUGGCAUAACCUCAUUUGUCCAUGCAUUAAAGUGCUCAUACUGUUAAUUCUCAGAUUAAACUGGAUGGAACAGUGAACAAUUUGUCAUUUGUGAGUGAGAGAGAGUGUUUCUGCAGAUGUGGGCGUGCACAAGCAAG